rnacentral:rRNA from 1 species
GACGAACGCUGGCGGCGUGCUUAACACAUGCAAGUCGAACGGAAAGGCCCUGCUUUUGUGGGGUGCUCGAGUGGCGAACGGGUGAGUAACACGUGAGUAACCUGCCCUUGACUUUGGGAUAACUUCAGGAAACUGGGGCUAAUACCGGAUAGGAGCUCCUGCUGCAUGGUGGGGGUUGGAAAGUUUCGGCGGUUGGGGAUGGACUCGCGGCUUAUCAGCUUGUUGGUGGGGUAGUGGCUUACCAAGGCUUUGACGGGUAGCCGGCCUGAGAGGGUGACCGGCCGCAUGGGGAUGUAGAUGGGGCAGAGCCGGCAGCGGGAGGCAGGAGCGGGGGAUGGGGGAGCGGGGGCGGAAGCAUGGGGCCGCAACGACGCGUGGAAGAGGGCGGUGUAGUGGUAAAAAGGCGCAUCCCACUGUAAAGAAGCGUGACAGACGUGGAUGGAAAAAAAGGCACCAGCGAAAUACAU